CCUACGGGUGGCAGCAGUGGGGAAUAUUGGACAAUGGGGGGAACCCUGAUCCAGCGACGCCGCGUGAGUGAAGAAGUAUUUCGGUAUGUAAAGCUCUAUCAGCAGGGAAGAAAGAAAUGACGGUACCUGACUAAGAAGCCCCGGCUAACUACGUGCCAGCAGCCGCGGUAAUACGUAGGGGGCAAGCGUUAUCCGGAUUUACUGGGUGUAAAGGGAGCGUAGACGGCGAUGCAAGUCUGAAGUGAAAGGCGGGGGCCCAACCCCCGGACUGCUUUGGAAACUGUAUGGCUGGAGUGCAGGAGAGGUAAGUGGAAUUCCUAGUGUAGCGGUAAAAUGCGUAAAUAUAUGUAAGAACACCAGUGGCGAAGGCGGCUUGCUGGGUCGAUACUGACAUUGAGGCACGAAAGCGUGGGGAGCAAACAGGAUUAGAUACCCUAGUAGUC
rnacentral:rRNA from 1 species